GUGCUUCCUUCAGCAGCACAUACACUAAAAUUGCAAUGAUACAGAGAUGAGCAUGGCCCCUGAGCAAGGAUGAUAUGUGAAUUCAUGAAGCAUUCCAGAUAUCU
ensembl:snRNA U6 U6 spliceosomal RNA